rnacentral:rRNA from 1 species
UGGGGAAUCUUGGACAAUGGGGGAAACCCUGAUCCAGCCAUGCCGCGUGAGCGAUGAAGGCCUUAGGGUUGUAAAGCUCUUCCGUGGGGAAGAUAAUGACUGUACCCCAAGAAGAAGCCCCGGCUAACUCCGUGCCAGCAGCCGCGGUAAUACGGAGGGGGCUAGCGUUGUUCGGAAUUACUGGGCGUAAAGCGCACGUAGGCGGACCUGCAAGUUGGGGGUGAAAUCCCGAGGCUCAACCUCGGAACUGCCUUCAAAACUGCUGGUCUUGAGUUCGAGAGAGGUGAGUGGAAUUCCGAGUGUAGAGGUGAAAUUCGUAGAUAUUCGGAGGAACACCAGUGGCGAAGGCGGCUCACUGGCUCGAUACUGACGCUGAGGUGCGAAAGCGUGGGGAGCAAACAGGAUUAGAAACCCGAGUAG